rnacentral:rRNA from 1 species
CCUGAACGCUGGCGGCGUGGCUAAGACAUGCAAGUCGCACGGAGGUAGCAAUACCUUAGUGGCGAACGGGUGAGUAAUGAAUCGCUAAUGUGCCCCGGACUCUGGGAUAGCUGCCCGAAAGGGCAGGUAAUACCAGAUGAUAUAACCGAACCGCAUGGUUUGGUUCUCAAAGGUCCGCCGGUCUGGGAGCAGGCGAUUUCGUAUCAGCUAGUUGGUGAGGUAACGGCUCACCAAGGCGACGACGCGUAGCCGGACUGAGAGUGU